UAAAGAGUCAGGAGCUGUUAGACACACUAAUGCUGACUGGAUAUAGCAGCUUUACUGCAAAAAUCUCAGACACCUUCCGUAUACCAGACUCCAGCGACCCAAACUGCAGAAUUUUCCUUGGAUCUCAGGGGAUGACAAGUGUUUUUCCACUGAAUUUUGAGCUGGGCAAUCACACCCUCUAAAAAGACAGAGAUCUAAUGUCACCCAAUGCUAUCCACUUGCAGAAGAUAAUGACAACAUGGCAGCACCUUUGAGUUUGCAUCAGAGCUUACAUGCUGUUUCUCUGACACGCAAACCAAGUUUACAGACCUGGGCUUACAGACAGGUAAAACCCUCCUCCAUCAAGUUGCAGGCAGGCACACUGCACCUCCCUGAUGACUUUUGAAGAUACUAGUCUCUGAAAUCAUGGGUUUUCUGGCCUUUGUAUUUCACUGGAUCAAAUUAUGCUCCUGUCCACAGCAAAUGUGUUUUCUUCCCUUACUCACUGGAUCUACAGGUCUUAAUGUCGUUCUUUCUCACCGUCCUCCAGCUGGCAGCUAUAGAGAGAUAUUCCACCAGCCCCACUGUGAAAGCAAUAUCCAUGGCUCAGUUUUCAUGCCCCUGGGGUAUGAUCAUCUACAGACCUGUUACUUCUGGCUCUGGAGAUGAUUUAAAAGUAGAAAUGCUGUUGACUCGAGUAAGCAAACCCAGCAAAUGUAUCAUGCUUUAUUUUUCCAUACAAGAUUUCUAUGUGUCUUUGAGAGAGACGUGGCAGGUUUAGCAGAGGAGGAACAGCACAGGGUGAGAAUUUCCAAGUUGCUUUGAGAUCUUCAUUUAGUUUGGGAGUUUGCUUCACAUGAACUUCAUCAGAGACGUUGGAGGGGAGAAUUUGUGUGUGCACACGUGUGUCUGUGCAAACACACCACUUUGCUUAAAGUGUAACGGCCGCUGCUCUUCAUGUUCACAUGGCUGCUACAACAAUGCACUUCCCUGUGACAGUGAAGAGCCAGUUCCAGGCUUCUGGGGUUUGAGGUCAAGUUAGGUCUUACAGACAGUUCUGGGGGAAGUACUACAGUGAACACAGACUGACGUCUUCUGUGAAAGGCUUACUAUUUUAUUACAUAAUAAACAGAGCUCCACUUCUGACUCA